UCAAAAUGGAGUCCAGAAACUAUUAUAAAACGGGGAGAAACCGAAAGCCAUACGAGUAGGAAAUCU
rnacentral:ncRNA from 1 species